rnacentral:rRNA from 1 species
CCCUUAGAUGUCCUGGGCCGCACGCGCGUUACACUGAUGCAUUCAACGAGCUUAUAACCUUGGCCGAGAGGCCUGGGCAAUCUUGUUAACGUGCAUCGUGAUAGGGAUAGAUUAUUGAAAUUAUUAAUCUUGAACGAGGAAUUCCUAGUAAACGCAGAUCAUCAAUCCGCAUUGAUUACGUCCCUGCCCUUUGUACACACCGCCCGUCGCACCUACCGAUUGGAUGGUCCGGUGAAGCCUCGGGAUUGUGGUUCUUGCCGCUUUGUUGUGGCGUGACCGCGAGAACUUGUCUAAACCUUAUCAUCUAGAGGAAGGUGAAGUCGUAACA